rnacentral:rRNA from 1 species
AUUAGAGUUUGAUCCUGGCUCAGAUUGAACGCUGGCGGCAUGCCUUACACAUGCAAGUCGAACGGCAGCAUGAUCUAGCUUGCUAGAUUGAUGGCGAGUGGCGAACGGGUGAGUAAUACAUCGGAACGUGCCCUGUAGUGGGGGAUAACUAGUCGAGAGAUUAGCUAAUACCGCAUACGACCUGAGGGUGAAAGUGGGGGACCGCAAGGCCUCAUGCUAUAGGAGCGGCCGAUGUCUGAUUAGCUAGUUGGUGAGGUAAAGGCUCACCAAGGCGACGAUCAGUAGCUGGUCUGAGAGGACGAUCAGCCACACUGGGACUGAGACACGGCCCAGACUCCUACGGGAGGCAGCAGUGGGGAAUUUUGGACAAUGGGCGAAAGCCUGAUCCAGCAAUGCCGCGUGUGUGAAGAAGGCCUUCGGGUUGUAAAGCACUUUUGUCCGGAAAGAAAUGGCUCUGGUUAAUACCUGGGGUCGAUGACGGUACCGGAAGAAUAAGGACCGGCUAACUACGUGCCAGCAGCCGCGGUAAUA